rnacentral:rRNA from 1 species
GAUGAACGCUGGCGGCGUGCCUAAUACAUGCAAGUCGAGCGAACGGACGAGAAGCUUGCUUCUCUGAUGUUAGCGGCGGACGGGUGAGUAACACGUGGAUAACCUACCUAUAAGACUGGGAUAACUUCGGGAAACCGGAGCUAAUACCGGAUAAUAUUUUGAACCGCAUGGUUCAAAAGUGAAAGACGGUCUUUCUGUCACUUAUAGCUGGAUCCGCGCUGCAUUAGCUAGUUGGUAAGGUAACGGCUUACCAAGGCAACGAUGCAUAGCCGACCUGAGAGGGUGAUCGGCCACACUGGAACUGAGACACGGUCCAGACUCCUACGGGAGGCAGCAGUAGGGAAUCUUCCGCAAUGGGCGAAAGCCUGACGGAGCAACGCCGCGUGAGUGAUGAAGGUCUUCGGAUCGUAAAACUCUGUUAUUAGGGAAGAACAUAUGUGUAAGUAACUGUGCACAUCUUGACGGUACCUAAUCAGAAAGCCACGGCUAACUACGUG